rnacentral:lncRNA from 1 species
UGCCUACUUCCAUUGUAAAAUAAUGGGAUCUUGAGUCUUCGCUCUCUCUUCACUAUCUCUUUCGCUGAUUAUGACAAAUGGAGAUGUUGCAGACAGUGAAGAGGCAAAGGUUGUGAUCAGCAGGUGGUGGCCAAUUGGGUGAAAUGUGUUGAAAAGGUGAUAUCAAAUGAUAAUAGGGAAUGAAGGUUGUGAUCAGCAGGUGGUGGCCAAUUGAAUGAGAAGCGUUGAAAAUGUGAUAGCAAAUGAUAAUAGGGAAUGGUGACAAAGAAGGAGAUUAAUAUGAGAACAAAGAAAAUGGAGAGAAAGGAAAGAGAUUAAUU